AUAUGUCAAAACCUAGUUUCUCCUCUCUUCCCUCUCCUCAUAUCUCUUCUUUAGUAUCUUAUUUUCCCAAUUAUCAACGAUGGUUCAUAUCUUUCUUUAUUUCUCUCACUUUUUCCCACUCUCAGAUUCAGAUCUGACUUCAUGUCCAGGAAAAUUUUGAAUCCAAUUUUUUGGUAAAAUUUGCCAAAAUCAUAACUGUUGCUCACCACCAAUCUGUCUGACAUCGUGUUAUCAGUUUAAUCUUAGCUGUAGCGACUUUGCUUAUGUCAAAACCGAAGCUCCUCCGACGAUGAGAAACAAUCAUCUAUUUUGCAUCAAAACAGAGAAGAGAGAAAAGUUCAGAAAAUUUGAUUUAUCUGUUUUACAGAGAGAGAUAUCUCUUGGGUUUUUGGACAUCUCACGAGAUUUUACAAAGAACUCAUGGUUCUUGCUUAAUCUCAUGGCAUCUUCGUUGCAGACCCUUGAAAGGAGAGUGAGUUGGCUGGUUUUCUGGAGUCAGAAUCUCUUGAUUUGAUAUAGCAGAGAGAUGGGCACAUCAUAUGCAACUUGACAUUGACCAGAACUCGAAAAUAUAGAUGAUCAAUUUUUUCAGGACACUGCAUUCUAGUGUGCAUUCUUCCAUUUAAGCUCAGAAGAUUGGGUGUGGGUCUUAGCGCAGAAGACAUUGCGUUGAUGAGCACAUAGUUCUGCACCAAGACAUAGAGGAUCCACAAGACUAAUUUUUUUUCUCUGUUUCACGCGUGUCCACAUGGUCCUUAUGCUCAGUCUGCACUCAAAGUGCUUGCUCGUUAUGGCAUGAAAACUGGUCACAUUGGUCAAGAAGCAAAUUCUUCAUAUACAAUGUGUUUAUGCAAAUGUAUAUAAAAAAUUAUCCAGUGUACACGUAAGCUUUUGUGAAUUAAUGUACACUAGAUCUUGACCCGCGCUUUGGAAGCGCGGAAUAUUUUACAAUGAAAAAUUUUAUUAAUAAUUUAACAAAUAUUUUUGUAAUUUUUAAAAGUGUGUAUUUAAAAUAUUUUUGCAUUUAAA